ACAUAAAAGUUCAGAAAAUAAAAAUAAACAAGUUUUAGAAUAAAAUUAGGACGACAUUACAAAAUAUAGAUGAAAAACGUGUUACAUGUACGUACCAAUAGUAUUUUAGCGUGUGUAGUUUUUUAAAUAAGUAAAGAAGUAGAGGAAGGGGCAUCAAAGGAGAGGAACUGCAAAAGGGCGUGAAAAGGGAGGGAACUGCAAAAAGGCGUGAAACUUCCAGAAGAAAGGCAAGAAGCAGCCUCAUUAUCUCUCUGCUUUGAAUCGUUCACUAAACACAGGCUAUCUGUUGAGAAGCUAGCUUCCACUGUGCUUUGGAAACUCUCCACUCCAUGCAGCUAUACUGAAACGGAAUCCUGAUUGUCUUAUGUAGGUGUUCAUUCAAUUAUUUUUUUGAUUCUUGCUUUCAUUUUGGACCGUGCUGCUCAUCAUCACAGGCAGUUGUGUAUCCAGCAAAACCUCCAGAAAGCCCGGAUGAAGAGGUCGAUGAUCCCCUGUACCUGAUUGACAUUGACCAUCCCACAACCUUUUUUGAAGUUGCUCCAGGUUAUGUGGGAUGCUACCAUAUUCGGGGUGUUUAAUCAAAACUUCCCGUUGUAUAUAAAGCACGAAGAUCUCUCUGAAAUUGCACAUGUUGGUCAAUGUCUCAGCAUAUCUAUUAUACAAUUGUG